AGUAAGGAUAACUUAGUAAUUCAUUGCUGUCUACUUAAGCGUCGAGAACCAAAAUUCAAUCUGAGGGGAUAUAAAGUUAGGUAGGAAAAAAAAUGUUUCAGCUUAAAUUCAAUUCUUGCUAUAAUCCAUAAUUGUAAUUCGUUUUCUCCUUUUUUAACUGACCUGGGUUAAUGAAUUUUAGACCGGUCAAGUGAAUCACCUUAAGACAAGUAGGCAUCUCCCUAACCUUUAGCUUUUGUCUUGUGAUUUGAAAGUGAGGCUUGGUUGUUGAUUAAGGGGUAACAUGGAAAGAGUGGAAGUGCUUUUGGUGGAUGAUCGGCGUUCCACCUCCGAUCUUUCUUGCAAAGCUCCUAUUCUUAUGGAAUUGUGAUGGUAUGAUCAGAGAUCCCUUUAGGAACUCUGAAGCUAAACAUGGAUGAUAGCUGAUAUGAAAGUAAAGGAAAAUGAGCUUUUGGUGGUGGUCUCAAAAUAGGAGAAGGCAAUAUGGCUCAUUGGUUAGUGUGAUAAGUUCACGUGCACCUUAAAUUUAGAAGCUAAAAUUUGGACCAACUAUUGUUGCCUAACCAUCUCCUAUUUGAACUUCUUUGUGUAUUAUAUAUGUAGUUAUCUAGGCAUAAGAUCAGAUUUUGGGGCUUGAUUGCUUUUCGGUUAUUGAAAAAUUUGCUAGAACAUAAAUAGUGUACAACAGAAAAAGAAAGCAACCUCAAUGUCAAGGGAGCGAAAAAUACAUGUUCAUAACUUCUUCACUUA